UACAGAGGGUGCGAGCGUUAAUCGGAGUUACUGGGCGUAAAGGGUUCGUAGGUGGCUUGUUAAGUCAGACGUGAAAUCCCUCGGCUCAACCGGGGAACUGCGUCUGAGACUGAUGAGCUCGAGUGCAGGAGAGGAACGCGGAAUUCCAGGUGUAGCGGUGAAAUGCGUAGAUGUCUGGAGGAACACCGGUGGCGAAGGCGGCGUUCUGGACUGCAACUGACACUGAGGAACGAAAGCCAGGGGAGCAAACGGG
rnacentral:rRNA from 1 species